UAUGGCCACAUCACUUUGAAACACUGCUACCCAUACAAUCACUGAAGUUAAGCAACAUUGAGCCUAGUCAGUAACAUGAUGGGUGACUGCUUGGGAAUACCAGGUUCUGUAAG